GAUCCUGGCUCAGGAUGAACGCUAGCGGCAGGCUUAACACAUGCAAGUCGAGGGGCAGCGCGGGAUAGCAAUAUCCUGGCGGCGACCGGCGGAAGGGUGCGUAACGCGUGAGCGACAUGCCCGUUGCCCGGGGACAACCGGUGGAAACGCCGACUAAUCCCCGAUGGGAUAUUGUGCCGCACGGCACGAUAUUGAAAGUUACGGCGGCGACGGAUUGGCUCGCGUCCGAUUAGCUUGUUGGCGGGGUAACGG
rnacentral:rRNA from 1 species